UGCUUCUUUGUCCAGCAGGUAUAGUUGAGUUCAUGUGAAUAGCAUUAGGAGUAGGUCCAGUUGGUUUUACGUGUGCUGAUUGUAGUGGAGGGCUGUUGACCUUGGUGACUGCUGGCCUCUAAAAAGCAGAAGCUGAGCUUGAAAACAUGGAUUAAACCAAGACUUCCAUCAUAAUACGAAGAGCCACACAUCAUAUUGUAAAACCCCAGUUCUGAGAGAAUCUGGGAAAUGGAGAAGAGCACAUGAAUGUUCAGCAAACAUGAACUGAAUUAGCUCCAGACAUGAAAGGAAACGACAGAAAAUGGGGUCUUCAUCUGACUACCUCUGCCUCUGCUGUCGGCUUCAAGAGUGGUAUCCGUGGCACCUGGAAGUCAGCGUUCCCGCCCCUGUGUGACAGAUGGACAGCCCUCCGAUGGACAGCCCUCCUGCCCCUCAGCAGUCAGACUGACAGAGACCCACUGUGACACGUCAGAACCCACAGAAAAUAUUCCUCCUGUGCAUUACUUAGGACUUUCCUGCAUUUAUAUAAUACCCAGCUUCCUGAAAGUAAUUUGUUUUGGAUUGUGUAGAGCUGGGCAGGACAUCAAAGGGAUGCUAAGCAGUGGUAAUAACACAGUGAGGUUUAUGGUCACUGAGGUAUUAAAUAUCACUCGUAAAUUACAGGGUGAGCGUUUUAAAUGCGCGAUGGCUCGGAGAACACUAGGCGCCCCGUCUCUGCUCAUAUUAAUUGCCACUGCCUGCCUUAUUAAUUAUCAAUAGUCCCAAAGGCUUGUUGCAGUCUUCUUCAGGAACCAUUCUCUGCUCUUUCUAUGGUUCUGUGAAUGUGCAAGCGCGCGAGUGGACGCGUUGUAAGCAUAAGCUGGCAUUAAGCUUAAGGGAAACGUGAGGAUACUUUAGAAUACUGUGGAGUCUGAUAGCCUUUCAUUUCAAAAGCAAAUAUCCCUCCAGAUGAACCAGUGGCACUCUGGUUGCUGUUUCCUAACAAGGCGUUCUGCUUACUGCUUUGGACUCCAAGCAGCAAAGUCAGGAUAAUGCAGAUGUGUUUCUCUUCAGGGCCUGAUCAGUUUGACUUUCUGGUUCUAAAGCGCUAUCCCUUCUCUGCCAAAUUGCACCCCAUUGGCUUUUAGCUAAAUUUCACAGGCUCCCUUUCAGUUUGAAUUCUCCAGUGUCCUUUUGUCUGCACCCACAUACACCAUUGCUUCAUCAUCGUACACUCUGAGUUCCUACUUCUCUCCUCUGUGAGCUUCUAUGUACUUCUUCUCAGGUGAGUUCCUCUAGAUUUUUGUGUUUAAGGAUCCAAUCUAGCAAUUACCAAGGAGUACCAGAGGACACCCAAGCCCCAAACUUGGAAAAGGGAUGGUGUUUUAGAAGAAUGAAAUGGCUCACACUUUGGGAACUUAAUAAUUUAAUACAGACACUCCCGACACAGAGUCACCCAAGCGUAUUGAACCUUGGGGGACUCCCCAGCUUUGCAUAGUAGAAGCCAAGAGCUGCAACAGGCCACUGAGAGGUUUAGGAAGUAGGUGUCUGAGGAUAUGAGGUCUGACAAUUAAGUUCACAAACUUGUUGCAAUGAUGUUGCUAACCUUUUUUGAUAUCAGAGGGAUUAUUCAUUAUGAAUUUAUGCCAACUGGACAAACUAUUAACCAAGUUUACUAUUUGGAAGUGCUGAAAAGGCUGCAUGAAAAAGUUACCAGACCUGAACUUCUCACCUACAAUUCAUGGCUCUUGGAUCGCGACAAUGCACCAGCUCACACAGCACUGUCUGUGAAGGGGUUUUUAGCCAGGAAACAAGUAACUGUAUUGGAACACCCUCCCUACUCACCUGAUC